CCUACGGGAGGCAGCAGUGAGGAAUAUUGGUCAAUGGACGAGAGUCUGAACCAGCCAAGCAGCGUGAAGGAUGACUGCCCUAUGGGUUGUAAAUUUCUUUUAUAUGGGAAUAAAAUGUUCCACGUGUGGGAUUUCGUAUGUACCAUAUGAAUAAGGAUCGGCUAACUCCGUGCCAGCAGCCGCGGUAAUACGGAGGAUCCGAGCGUUAUCCGGGUUUGUUGGGUUUAAAGGGAACGUAGGUGGAUUGUUAAGUCAGUUGGGAAAAUUUGGGGCUCAACCGUAAGAUUGCAGUUGAAACUAGCAGUCUUGAGUACAGUAGAGGUGAGCGGAAUUCGUGGUGUAGCGGUGAAAUGCUUAGAGAUAACGAAGAACUCCGAUUGCGAAGGCAGCUCACUGGACUGCAACUGACACUGAGGCUCGAAAGUGUGGGUAUCAAACAGGAUUAGAUACCCUUGUAGUC
rnacentral:rRNA from 1 species